rnacentral:rRNA from 1 species
CAAGUCGAACGCGAAAGAAGCCUUCGGGUUUCAAGUAGAGUGGCGUCCGGGUGAGUAACACGUAGGUAAUCUACCUUCGGGUGGGGAAUAACGCAGGGAAACUUGCGCUAAUACCGCAUAAUGCAGCGGCACCACAUGGUGACAGUUGUUAAAGCGGGGGCUUUUCGGACCUCGCGCCUGAAGAGGAGCCUGCGGCAGAUUAGCUAGUUGGUAGGGUAACGGCUUACCAAGGCGACGAUCUGUAACCGGCCUGAGAGGGCGGUCGGUCACACUGACACUGACAUACGGGUCAGACUCCUACGGGAGGCAGCAGUCGGGAAUUUUGGGCAAUGGGCGAAAGCCUGACCCAGCAACGCCGCGUGAAGGAUGAAAUCCUUCGGGAUGUAAACUUCGCAAGAAUGGGAAGAAUGAGCGAGUACUAAUACUGCUCGUGAUGACGGUACCAUUUGUAAGCUCCGGCUAACUCCGUGCCAGCAGCCGCGGUAAUACGGGGGGAGCAAGCGUUGUUCGGAUUUACUGGGCGUAAAGGGCGCGUAGGCGGCCAGCGCAAGUCAGUUGUGAAAUCUCCGGGCUUAACUCGGAAAGGUCAACUGAUACUGCGCGGCUAGAGUGCAGAAGGGGCAACUGGAAUUCUCGGUGUAGCGGUGAAAUGCGUAGAUAUCGAGAGGAACACCUGCGGCGAAGGCGGGUUGCUGGGCUGACACUGACGCUGAUGCGCGAAAGCCAGGGGAGCGAACGGGAUUAGAUACCCCGGUAGUCCUGGCCUUAAACGAUGGAUGCUUGGUGUCUGGAGUUUUAUAGUCUCCGGGUGCCGUAGCUAACGCGUUAAGCAUCCCGCCUGGGGAGUACGGUCGCAAGACUGAAACUCAAAGGAAUUGACGGGGACCCGCACAGCGGUG